rnacentral:rRNA from 1 species
AGAGUUUGAUCCUGGCUCAGGAUGAACGCUGGCGGCGUGCUUAACACAUGCAAGUCGAGCGAAGCACUUUUUUAGAACUCUUCGGAGGGAAGAGAGGGUGACUUAGCGGCGGACGGGUGAGUAACGCGUGGGCAACCUGCCUUACACAGGGGGAUAACAAUUAGAAAUGAUUGCUAAUACCGCAUAAGACCCCAGUACCGCAUGGUACAGAGGUAAAAACUGAGGUGGUGUAAGAUGGGCCCGCGUCUGAUUAGGUAGUUGGUGGGGUAGAAGCCUACCAAGCCGACGAUCAGUAGCCGACCUGAGAGGGCGACCGGCCACAUUGGGACUGAGACACGGCCCAAACUCCUACGGGAGGCAGCAGUGGGGAAUAUUGCACAAUGGGGGAAACCCUGAUGCAGCGACGCCGCGUGAGUGAGGAAGUAUUUCGGUAUGUAAAGCUCUAUCAGCAGGGAAGAAAAUGACGGUACCUGACUAAGAAGCCCCGGCUAACUACGUGCCAGCAGCCGCGGUAAUACGUAGGGGGCAAGCGUUAUCCGGAUUUUACUGGGUGUAAAGGGAGCGUAGACGGAUAAGCAAGUCUGAUGUGAAAAUCCGGGGCCCACCCCCGGAAAUUGCAUUGGGAA